rnacentral:rRNA from 1 species
GACGAACGCUGGCGGCGUGCUUAACACAUGCAAGUCGAACGGAAAGGCCCUGCUUUUGUGGGGUGCUCGAGUGGCGAACGGGUGAGUAACACGUGAGUAACCUGCCCUUGCCUUUGGGAUAACUUCAGGAAACUGGGGCUAAUACCGGAUAGGAGCUCCUGCUGCAUGGUGGGGGUUGGAAAGUUUCGGCGGUUGGGGAUGGACUCGCGGCUUAUCAGCUUGUUGGUGGGGUAGUGGCUUACCAAGGCUUUGACGGGUAGCCGGCCUGAGAGGGUGACGGGCCACAUUGGGAAUGAGAUACGGCCCAGACUCCGGGGGGAGGCAGCAGGGGGGAAUAUGGCAAAAUGGGCGGAAGCCUGAUGCAGCAACGCCGCGUGGGGGAUGAAGGCCUUCGGGUUGUAAACCGCUUUCGCCUGUGACGAAGCGGGAGUGACGGUAAUGGGUAAAGAAGCACCGGCUAACUACGUG